GUGUUUGCUUCAGCAGCACAUUUACUAAAACUGGAACACAGAGAUUAAUAUGGCCUCCACACAAGGACGACAAAUUCUUGAAGCAUUCCAUAUAUAU
rnacentral:snRNA from 1 species